UUUUUUUAUAAAGUAUAACCUGCCCACUGAAUUAUUUAAAUGGCCGCAGUAUUUUGACUGUGCAAAGGUAGCAUAAUAAUUAGUUUUUUAAUUAAAAGCUUGUAUGAAUGGUUGGACGAGGUAAAUACUGUCUUUAAAUAAUUUUAAUAGAAUUUAAUUUUUAAGUUAAAAAGCUUAAAUAAUUUUAAAAGACGAGAAGACCCUAUAGAUCUUUAUUAUUUUUUUUGUAAAAUUAUUUAGAUUUUUAUGAUUUUUAUAAUUAAAAUAAUUUUAUUGGGGUAAUAUAAAGAUUAAAAUAAUUCUUUAUUAUUUGAAACAUAAAUUUAUGGUUUAUUUGAUCCAGUUUUAUUGAUUAUAAGAUUAAGUUACCUUAGGGAUAACAGCGUAAUUUUUUUAAAGAGUUCAUAUCGAUAAAAAAGAUUGCGACCUCGAUGUUGGAUUAAAAGUAAUUUUAGGUGUAGAAGCUUAAAGUUUUGGUCUGUUCGACCA
rnacentral:rRNA from 1 species